rnacentral:rRNA from 1 species
GAUGAACGCUAGCGAUAGGCUUAACACAUGCAAGUCGAGGGGCAGCACAAGGUAGCUUGCUAUCUGGGUGGCGACCGGCGCACGGGUGCGUAACGCGUAUGCAACUUGCCCUAUACAGGAGGAUAACCCGUCGAAAGACGGACUAAUACUGCGUAUGCUCACAACUUGGCAUCAAGUGGUGAGGAAAGAAAUUCGGUAUAGGAUAGGCAUGCGUCCCAUUAGCUUGUUGGUGAGGUAACGGCUCACCAAGGCAACGAUGGGUAGGGGAACUGAGAGGUUUAUCCCCCAGACUGGUACUGAGGCACGGACCAGACUCCUACGGGAGGCAGCAGUGAGGAAUGUUGGGCAAUGGGCGCGAGCCUGAACCAGCCGAGUCGCGUGAAGGAUGACUGUCUUAGGGAUUGUAAACUUCUUUUAUACGGGAAUAACAAGAGUCACGGGGGACUCCCUGCAUGUACCGGAUGAAUAAGCAUCGGCUAACUCCGUG